rfam:Streptococcus dysgalactiae subsp. dysgalactiae ATCC 27957 chromosome, whole genome shotgun sequence.
UUGAGCCGUGUGAGGGGAAACUCUCAUGCACGGUUCUUAGAGGGGAAAGAGGUCGUGAGACCUCUGACCUACUCGAC